AUUGAACGCUGGCGGCAUGCCUUACACAUGCAAGUCGAACGGUAACGGGCCUUCGGGUGCCGACGAGUGGCGAACGGGUGAGUAAUACAUCGGAACGUGCCCGAUCGUGGGGGAUAACGAGGCGAAAGCUUUGCUAAUACCGCAUACGAUCUACGGAUGAAAGCAGGGGACCGCAAGGCCUUGCGCGGACUGAGCGGCCGAUGGCAGAUUAGGUAGUUGGUGGGAUAAAAGCUUACCAAGCCGACGAUCUGUAGCUGGUCUGAGAGGAUGAUCAGCCACACUGGGACUGAGACACGGCCCAGACUCCUACGGGAGGCAGCAGUGGGGAAUUUUGGACAAUGGGCGCAAGCCUGAUCCAGCCAUGCCGCGUGCAGGAUGAAGGCCUUCGGGUUGUAAACUGCUUUUGUACGGAACGAAAAGCCUUCUUUUAAUACAGGAGGGUCAUGACGGUACCGUAGGAAUAAGCACCGGCUAACUACGUG
rnacentral:rRNA from 1 species